rnacentral:rRNA from 1 species
CCUACGGGUGGCAGCAGUGGGGAAUAUUGCACAAUGGGGGAAACCCUGAUGCAGCGACGCCGCGUGAGUGAAGAAGUAUUUCGGUAUGUAAAGCUCUAUCAGCAGGGAAGAAAAUGACGGUACCUGACUAAGAAGCCCCGGCUAACUACGUGCCAGCAGCCGCGGUAAUACGUAGGGGGCAAGCGUUAUCCGGAUUUACUGGGUGAAAAGGGAGCGUAGACGGAUUUUUAAGUCAGCGGUAAAAUCUCGGUGCUAAACCCGGGCCGGCCGUUGAAACUGGGGAUCUUGAGUGAGCGAGAGGUAUGCGGAAUGCGAGGUGUAGCGGUGAAAUGCAUAGAUAUCACGCAGAACACCAAUUGCGAAGGCAGCUUACCGGCGCCCGACUGACGCUGAGGCACGAAAGCGUGGGGAGCGAACAGGAUUAGAUACCCUAGUAGUC